rnacentral:lncRNA from 10 species
UGUAAGGCCAUCCUUGUUCCAGUGCUAUCUGUGGGACCGGACAGAGACUGAACUGCAGCUGACCGCAUAUCCUCACUUUGCUUCUUCCCAGCCCUGUCUUGCUUCCCUCACUGCCUUACAAGGUUUCACUUGCAUGUGCUUGCAGAAGACUCCUGACUCUGCCAUUGCAACCUCUGAUGUUAGGGAUCUUAACCUAAGACAGGAGACUUCCUGCCCGGGCCCUAUGUUUUAUAUUUUCACCUAUAUUCUGGAGAGGAAAAUGAAGAAUUCCUUAAGUUCUCACUUGAAAAUUUGAUUUGUAAGGGAACUGGAAGUUUUCCUGCUGAGUGCUCCAUGUGUAAGAGGUGAGCAGCUACCCAUAUAUGACUUGAUAGAUCAAGACACAACCAAGGUAAUCUCUGCCCCUGACCCCAUAUGCUAUCAACAUUGCCUGAGAGGCC